rnacentral:rRNA from 1 species
ACUCCUACGGGAGGCAGCAGUAGGGAAUCUUCCGCAAUGGACGAAAGUCUGACGNAGCAACUGCCGCGUGAGUGAAGAAGGUUUUCGGAUCUGUAAAACUCUGUUGUUAGAGAAGAACAAGGAUGAGAGUAACUGCUCGUCCCUUGACGGUUUCUANCCAGAAAGCCAGGCUAACUAC